UCCCCCUCCCUGCCCAGCCCCUGGACGACGAAAUGCUCAGCAAAGAGGGCACAGUGAGACAAGUGGCCUGGACUACACCUGGCCCCAUGCAUUAACGCAGGCGACAACACACCACCUCCACAGGGCAUGGGGCCCUUUCUGUCUGAGAAGGGGUGAAACUUCAGGAACGUCAGAAAGAGAAUGUGACUCAAUGAUUCAUCCCAACGAGUCUGAAACGAUUUCAUGUUUAUUAAAUCAAAUGUUGCCAAGUAAAGAACUCCCAGGGUAUACAUACAGGAAGUCACAGGACAUGAGAUUUAACUGUACAGGAGACCUGAUAUAUCCCUGAUGAUCAAGUACUCUACAUGCGCAAUAAAUUUC
rnacentral:lncRNA from 1 species